ACCGCGAUAGCUCAGCUGGCAGAGCAUCUGCCCAGUAUGCGGAGGGUAUCCGCGUUUCGAUCCGGAUCGCGGGC
rnacentral:tRNA from 1 species